UUUCGAGAAUGUCACUUGUCUAUUGAUCUUGUUCUCUAUCCUCUUCAAUUCA
rnacentral:sRNA from 1 species